rnacentral:rRNA from 1 species
AGGUUAAGUUACAAAGGGCGCACGGUGGAUGCCUUGGCACUAGGAGCCGAUGAAGGACGGAACUAAUACCGAUAUGCUUCGGGGAGCUAUAAGUAAGCUUUGAUCCGGAGAUUUCCGAAUGGGGGAACCCAGUACACAUCAGUGUAUUGCUUGUCAGUGAAUACAUAGCUGGCCGGCGGCAGACGCGGGGAACUGAAACAUCUCAGUACCCGCAGGAAGAGAAAGAAAACUCGAUUCCCAUAGUAGCGGCGAGCGAAGUGGGAAGAGCCCAAACCGAGAAGCUUGCUUCUCGGGGUUGUAGGACUGGACAUUGGAGUUACCAAAGUCCGACGUAGUCGAAGUCAGCUGGAAAGCUGCGCCACAGAAGGUGAAAGCCCUGUAAGCGAAACGUCGAACCCUCCGUCCAGGAUCCUGAGUACGGCGGAACACGUGAAAUUCCGUCGGAAUCCGGGAGGACCAUCUCCCAAGGCUAAAUACUCCCUAGUGACCGAUAGUGAACCAGUACCGUGAGGAAAGGUGAAAAGCACCCCGGAAGGAGUGAAACAGUUCCUGAAACCGUGUGCCUACAAUUAGUCAAAGCCCGUUAAUGGGUAAUGGCGUGCCUUUUGUAGAAUGAACCGGCGAGUUACGUUUGCUUGCGAGGUUAAGAUGAAAAGUCGGAGCCGUAGCGAAAGCGAGUCUGAACAGGGCGAAUGAGUAAGCAGAUGUAGACCCGAAACCAAGUGACCUACCCAUGACCAGGUUGAAGGUGUGGUGAAACACACUGGAGGACCGAACCCAUGUAUGUUGAAAAAUGCUGGGAUGAGUUGUGGGUAGCGGUGAAAUUCCAAACGAACUUGGAGAUAGCUGGUUCUCUCCGAAAUAGCUUUAGGGUUAGCCUCGGAGGAUGGAUCAUGGAGGUAGAGCACUGUUUGAACUAGGGGCCCAUCAAGGGUUACUGAAUUCAGAUAAACUCCGAAUACCAUCGAUCUUACUCCGGGAGUCAGACAGUGAGCGAUAAGGUCCAUUGUCGAAAGGGGAACAGCCCAGAUCACCAGUUAAGGUCCCUAAAUUUAUGCUAAGUGGAAAAGGAUGUGGCGUUGCACAGACAACUAGGAUGUUGGCUCAGAAGCAGCCACCAUUUAAAGAGUGCGUAAUAGCUCACUAGUCGAGUGGCACUGCGCCGAAAAUAUACCGGGGCUAAGCAUAAUACCGAAACUGUGGGUGCACCCGUAAGGGUGCGCGGUAGGAGAGCGUUCUAAGGGCGUUGAAGGUCGAUCGUGAGGACGGCUGGAGCGCUUAGAAGUGAGAAUGCCGGCAUGAGUAGCGAAAGAUCAGUGAGAAUCUGAUCCACCGUAUGACUAAGGUUUCCUGGGAAGGCUCGUCCUCCCAGGGUUAGUCGGGAUCUAAGGCGAGGCCGAGAGGCGUAGUCGAUGACAAGCAGGUUGAGAUUCCUGCACUAGUUUAUUUUGUUUAAGCGAUGGAGGGACGCAGGAGGCUAAGGAAAGCGCACGGCUGGAAAUGUGCGCCCAAGCAGCAAGUCUGACAGCGAGUGAAAUGCUUGCAGUCUUAAGGACAAGCUGUGAUGGGGAGCGAAAUUAUAGUAGCGAAGUUCCUGAUGUCACACUGCCAAGAAAAGCUUCUAGUGAGAAAUAAACUACCCGUACCGCAAACCGACACAGGUAGUCGAGGAGAGUAUCCUCAGGUGAGCGAGCGAACUCUCGUUAAGGAACUCGGCAAAAUGACCCCGUAACUUCGGAAGAAGGGGUGCUGACCGCAAGGUCAGCCGCAGUGAAUAGGCCCAAACAACUGUUUAUCAAAAACACAGGUCUCUGCUAAAUCGUAAGAUGAUGUAUAGGGGCUGACGCCUGCCCGGUGCUGGAAGGUUAAGAGGAUGAGUUAGCGCAAGCGAAGCCCAGAAUUGAAGCCCCAGUAAACGGCGGCCGUAACUAUAACGGUCCUAAGGUAGCGAAAUUCCUUGUCGGGUAAGUUCCGACCCGCACGAAAGGCGUAAUGAUUUGGGCACUGUCUCAACGAGAGACUCGGUGAAAUUAUAGUACCCGUGAAGAUGCGGGUUACCCGCGACAGGACGGAAAGACCCCAUGGAGCUUUACUGUAGCUUGAUAUUGAGUGUUUGUACCGCUUGUACAGGAUAGGUAGGAGCCGUAGAGAUCGGAACGCUAGUUUCGAUGGAGGCGUUGGUGGGAUACUACCCUAGCUGUAUGAACACUCUAACCCGCGCCACUAAUCGUGGCGGGAGACAGUGUCAGGUAGGCAGUUUGACUGGGGCGGUCGCCUCCUAAAAUGUAACGGAGGCGCCCAAAGGUUCCCUCAGAAUGGUUGGAAAUCAUUCGCAGAGUGUAAAGGUAUAAGGGAGCUUGACUGCGAGACUGACAAGUCGAGCAGGGACGAAAGUCGGGCUUAGUGAUCCGGUGGUUCCGUAUGGAAGGGCCAUCGCUCAACGGAUAAAAGCUACCCUGGGGAUAACAGGCUUAUCUCCCCCAAGAGUCCACAUCGACGGGGAGGUUUGGCACCUCGAUGUCGGCUCAUCGCAUCCUGGGGCUGUAGUCGGUCCCAAGGGUUGGGCUGUUCGCCCAUUAAAGCGGUACGCGAGCUGGGUUCAGAACGUCGUGAGACAGUUCGGUCCCUAUCCGUCGCGGGCGCAGGAAAUUUGAGAGGAGCUGUCCUUAGUACGAGAGGACCGGGAUGGACGUUCCGCUGGUGUACCAGUUGUGCCGCCAGGCGCAUCGCUGGGUAGCUAUGAACGGCAGGGAUAAACGCUGAAAGCAUCUAAGUGUGAAGCCCCCCUCGAGAUGAGAUUUCCCAUUCCUAUAUGGAAGUAAGACCCCUGAGAGAUGAUCAGGUAGAUAGGCUGGAAGUGGAAGUGCAGCGAUGCAUGGAGCGGACCAGUACUAAUCGGUCGAGGACUUAACCAAG